UACGUAGGGGGCUAGCGUUGUCCGGAAUCAUUGGGCGUAAAGAGCGUGUAGGCGGUCCGGUAAGUCCGCUGUGAAAGUCGGGGGCUCAACCCUCGAAUGCCGGUGGAUACUGUCGGGCUAGAGUGCGGAAGAGGCGAGUGGAAUUCCUGGUGUAGCGAUGAAAUGCGCAGAUAUCAGGAGGAACACCUAUUGCGAAGGCAGCUCGCUGGGACGUAACUGACGCUGGAGACGCGAAAGCGUGGGGAGCGAACAGG
rnacentral:rRNA from 1 species